AACGCUGGCGGCAGGCCUAACACAUGCAGUCGACCGGACCCUUCGGGGUUAGUGCGGACGGGUGAGUAACACGUGGGAACGUGCCUUUAGGUUCGGAAUAGCUCCUGGAAACGGGUGGUAAUGCCGAAUGUGCCCUUCGGGGGAAAGAUUUAUCGCCUUUAGAGCGGCCCGCGUCUGAUUAGCUAGUUGGUGAGGUAACGGCUCACCAAGGCGACGAUCAGUAGCUGGUCUGAGAGGAUGACCAGCCACGACUGGGACUGAGACACGGCCCAGACUCCUACGGGAGGCAGCAGUGGGGAAUCUUGCGCAAUGGGCGAAAGCCUGACGCAGCCAUGCCGCGUGAAUGAUGAAGGUCUUAGGAUUGUAAAAUUCUUUCACCGGGGACGAUAAUGACGGUACCGGAGAAGAAGCCCCGGCUA
rnacentral:rRNA from 1 species